UACGUAGGGGGCAAGCGUUGUCCGGAUUUAUUGGGCGUAAAGAGCGUGUAGGCGGCUGGGUAGGUCCGUUGUGAAAACUCGAGGCUCAACCUCGAGACGCCGAUGGAAACCCUCCAGCUAGAGUCCGGAAGAGGAGAGUGGAAUUCCUGGUGUAGCGGUGAAAUGCGCAGAUAUCAGGAAGAACACCCGUGGCUAAGGCGGCUUGCCAGAACGCGCUCGACGGUGAGGGAUGAAAGCUGGGGGAGCAACCGG
rnacentral:rRNA from 1 species